rnacentral:rRNA from 1 species
CAGCAGCCGCGGGAAUACGUAGGUCCCGAGCGUUGUCCGGAUUUAUUGGGCGUAAAGCGAGCGCAGGCGGUUAGAUAAGUCUGAAGUUAAAGGCUGUGGCUUAACCAUAGUGCGCUUUGGAAACUGUUUAACUUGAGUGCAAGAGGGGAGAGUGGAAUUCCAUGUGUAGCGGUGAAAUGCGUAGAUAUAUGGAGGAACACCGGUGGCGAAAGCGGCUCUCUGGCUUGUAACUGACGCUGAGGCUCGAAAGCGUGGGGAGCAAACAGGAUUAGAUACCCGAGUAGUCCCUGUCUCUUAUACA